rnacentral:lncRNA from 1 species
GUUAAAGGAAUUUUAUAUCUUGAUGAUAAUAAUCAAUAAUCAAUUCGCCUUGACUAAUGCCCAAGGUUUGUAAGACAAUGGGUUAUAAUAAUUAGGCAAGGACUCAGCUUUCUGCAAAAGGUAUCUGUAGCUUUAUUUAGAGAACGUUCUGAGGUCAGGAUAACAAAACAGUCAUUAUAUAGUUCUUGCUUACUUACGCACAUGCAUUUACACACAAUCCGUUGGUGACCUGCAUCCCCCAUAAACUUCUCACACUGUUUAUCACUACCCAGAGCUCAGCCUGUUCUUUUCCCUCAAGGUUAGGAACUCUUUGAAGCUUUUACUCCCUUGACCAUCUGUCUCCUGGUGUCCCUCCUAAUUGCAUACACACAUUUCUUUCCCUCUCCAGUGGUUCCUGGACUUUCCGGAACUAAUCAGACUAAUCGAUCCCUAUCUUGAUCAUUACAUUGAUUAUUCAUUAAACCUGCUGUAUGACUAAUAAUUCAUCAUGGUUUAUUGAUUCAUUUACAUUUAUUAGAUAAUUCUCUUAUCAAUUCCACCCUUAAAUGAUUCAAUAAUUCACCAUGAUGAUCAGAUGCUAUAUGAGAACCCUACUAAUCAUAUGCUAUAUGUAAAUACAAUAAUCCUACGCUAUAUGGAAAUACAUAAUUGUGAAAUCACACGCUAUAUGGGAUUUAAUUGUGAUACAAUGAUUAAACAAAACCAAUACAUAAUUAUUCCUCCUAUACCCAUCAAUGACAGUCCUAGGCCUCUUUCCAAUUAUGACACUUCGAUUCAGGAUUUUCAUCAUAAUUUUCAUUAAAGGAACAGUCUAUCAAAACGUUGAAAAUUCAAACAAAACGUUGAAAAUUGUUUCAUCAAACAUUGGCUCCUCGUUAUCGAAAGAAACGGAGCCAUCUUCCUGGCCUGGAGGCCCGCAUUCGCCAUCCCACUGAUCGGAGCUCGGAAUCGGUCCAUAUCUCACCAACUGCUGCGUCAUCGAUCUCUCGAGAGUCCUGGUGAUUAAACCUCUCACACAUGGGACAAGACAACAUCCACACAACACAAACACACUCAUACAGGUGAAAGCAGCCCAUAAUACAGUUCUUACAACACUUUUCCAUUUCCCCAAACAUGGGAUAUGUUAUCAGGAAUGUACGUGUAGCGCUGAACCUAAUCAUUCUACCUACACUGCCCUCUUCUGCCAAUAACAUAUCGAGAGUCAGUCUAUUUUACCAGGUCAUGAGGGGGGUGGCGGAUAAUUGGUCAGAGAACAUCUUUACUGCAUCCCCGUUUUCAUUCAUGAAUCUCUGUUGAUUAUAAAAGAUGUCAUUAAUCCCAUCCACAUUUUUAUCUAUUGUCAACCACCAAAAUAAUGUAGUGUUAAAGCCUUCACAUAUUUGAUUCAUAGCUUUGUAUUCAUCUGGAACUUCCCUGAAGAUGCCAAUAGCAUCUAUCUAGACAAAGCUACUCCCAUCCUGGUCAAAACUACUCCUGUGCCUACUUUAGCCUCCUAUAACUGGCCUCUGAUGACUAACUCGAACUGGUUGGACCAAUAACCCCAGGGCGCAAGUUUCUAACCACCCUUUGUGGUAAUUUCUGUCGUAUGCGUCCUUUACUGGUACUAGCCCACCCUUCAUCAGUUAUAGGUGCUGUGAGGUUAAGAAUGUUCUAUUCAUCUCUCAAACCUAAGUCAGUCACAUUAACGAUUACUUUCAGCCAUUAAAAUCAUCUUAGUUCUCGGUGCCAUUCUUGUAUCUAUAACACUGGUAUUCAUCCGGAAUUUAGGUGAACCGAGGUGGGUUGGCUGAGUACUUCAAUCUGGCCAACCCCAAUUCCUGUACAGUUGUCUGCUUCCCCAGGAAUUUGUUUAAUGUUUACCUUAAAUUCUACAUCUUGAUCUUCUUUGAUUCCUUAUUCUGUAUGUCACUCAUCAGUGUAUUGUAUAGUUUAUCUUCUACUUCUUCUCAAUGACAACGGUAUCCUAUGAUUAGUACCAGAAGGUGGUGGAUCUGAAUGUAUCAGAAAGGUUACCAAAACUAUGAUGCAGCUCAGAGUCUCUACUCUUCCCAAAAACCGCCAACCCUCUCCUGCCCUUAGUCGAUCUGCUAGGUACCACCCCAUACUCACACCUCUAGGAGCACACACAGUGAUGAACGGUCGGGAUAGGAAAUCUUCGUUAAGGAGGUAACCCCCGGACCCUGUUGGUAUCGGUUCUUCUCCUAACUCUGUGUGUGAUCAGCAGGGUUCAUAUGUGUACAUACCUCCUUGCAGUGAGUAACGUGGACCCAAGUGACUCUUUCAGCUUUUCUAAUGGCAAAGGCAGUGGUUUAACAGAACCUGGUAUGGGCCUUCCCAACGGGGCUGCUUCCAGUUUUUUCUCCUCAGGGACUGGAUCCACACCCAGUCUCCUGGUUGGAUUGAGUGAAUCACCUUCUCCUGUAAUUCACCUGUUGGACACAAAAUCUUGGACAUACGGGUUUGGUUAACAAACAGUCUUCUCAUGUGCUCUGCUAGUAUUUCUUCAACUUCCAUGUCUACCUGUUCUGGUAUCUCUAACUCUGGCAUUCUAUAGGCUCUACCUGAUUAGCUAAACUGUCAUCCAUCAUUUAAAGAGAUGGCGCCUAGUAAACCAACUCUAGGGAUAAUAUCUGGACUUAAUAUUUUAGCUACCAUAAUCAUGUCCACCAAGUAAGUUGGGAACGCUUCUACCCAUUUGCUAUACUUAUCUAUUCUUGUUAAACACCCCUUCUUCCCCUCAAUUCGGAAUAGUUCAAUAAGUCCAAUUCCAAAUGUUGGAAUGGAUCUUCUUACAAUUUUUUAUUUUUUAUUUAACCUGUUUAGGAUAGGGGGCAGUAUUGACACGGCUGGAUAAAAAACAUACCCGAUUUAAUCUGGUUACCACUCCUACCCAGUAACUAGAAUAUGCAUAUACUUAUUACAUAUGGAUAGAAAACACCCUAAAUUUUCUAAAACUGUUUGAAUGGUGUCUGUGAGUAUAACAGAACUCAAAUGGCAGGUCAAAACCUGAGAGAUUCCUUUACAGGAAGUGGCCUGUCUGACCAUUUCUUGAACUUCUUUUCCAUCUCUAUCAUUUACUAAGGAUCUCUGCUCUAACGUGACACUUCCCACGUUGUCCAUAGGCGCUCAGAGCCCGGGAAAAAACAGAAUGUCGUCAUUCCAGCCCCAGGCUGAAACACAUUAUCGCCUUUCUCAAGUGGCCGAUCAAGGGACACUGUGCUUAUGCGCGUGACCCCGACCGCCCCCGCCUUUGGGAUUUUUUCCUCUGUUUGCCGAAAAGGAGAUUCCCUGUCGGAAUAUUAUCGCUUUUCUACGAGAAAAAUGUCGUAAAAAUUGAUUUUAAACAGCGGUUGACAUGCUUCGAAGUACGGUAAUGUGGGUGUCUAAAUAGCGAGCCCGUGAUGCCUGGGCUAUGUACUUAGAAUAUUGCAAAAUGUGCUUUCACCAAAAAGCUAUUUUAAAAUCGGACAUAUCGAGUGCAUAGAGGAGGUCUGUAUCUAUAAUUCUUAAAAUAAUUGUUAUGCUUUUUGUGAACGUUUAUCGUGAGUAAUUUAGUAAAAUGUUAGCGAAUUCCCCGGAAGUUUGCGGGGGGUAUGCUAGUUCUGAACGUCACAUGCUAAUGUAAAAAGCUGGUUUUUGAUAUAAAUAUGAACUUGAUUGAACAAAACAUGCAUGUAUUGUAUAACAUAAUGUCCUAGGGUUGUCAUCUGAUGAAGAUCAUCAAAGGUGAGUGCUGCAUUUAGCUGUCUUCUGGGUUUUGGUGACAUUAUAUGCUGGCUUGAAAAAUGGGUGUCUGAUUAUUUCUGGCUUGGUACUCUGCUGACAUAAUCUAAUGUUUUGCUUUCGUUGUAAAGCCUUUUUGAAAUCGGACAGUGUGGUUAGAUUAACGAGAGUCUUGUCUUUAAAUGGCUGUAAAAUAGUCAUAUGUUUGAGAAAUUGAAGUAAUAGGAUUUUUAAGGUUUUGAAAAUCGCGCCACAGGCUGGCAGUGGCUGUUACGUAGGUGGGACGAAUUCGUCCCGCCUAGCCUAGAGAGGUUAAGUAAUUAUCCUCUAGGCCAUCACUCUUUCCUAACUACUCUACUAUACUUCCCUCCCCUUGAUACAUUGCUUAGCCUAUGUAUCAAUAUUGCUGCGUAUCCAUAUAAUGUCUUUGGUAGGAUAAGUAAAUAAUCCUUCUGUCAGACCUUCUCUUAUAGGAUGCCCCCUUUCAUUUUCCACAUGUCCAAUUCUCCCUGGGGCCUUCAUCCUCGGCUAUUCUGUAACAAUUCUCUGUCAAGUGUUUUAUCCUCUUUAAGAUUUAUCUAUGCAGCUUUGUAUGGUUUUAAAUGUUCAUGUGCUUGUCUGUGUAAAUAGUAACUUUUCUCUCCUUUCUUAUUUCACCGGUUCUAGUCAAUGCUACUAUUUCGGCCUACUGUGCAGAAUAGUGUCUGGGCAAUGGUUCAGUGUCUAACACCUGAAACCUACUAAGCCCUUUUAGUUAGGGUAACAAUUACUUUCAACAAAAUGAUACUAAUUUUCUCCUAGCGAAUUUACCAGACAUAAACUUAAAAUCAAAACUAAAAUGCAUGCCUGCCAAUGGAGCCGUUAGUCUCUCCAUGAAUUAAUUUCCUAGAGCUUAGUGAACCAAAUUCUCUUCCUAUCUACUCCUGCUGGCCCCCCUCCUUUCUUCCUGCUACUCCCCAACCCUCAAGGUUUCAGCAGUGCAGGGGAGGAUCUCUCUGUCUGCCCUUCUAUCUGUCUCCAGCUUUUUCUCAUAAUAUGGUUGUUUCCAAAUAUUGACUAAAUGUCUCAUUGUCUCCUUGGUUGCACUCCUGAACUUUUUGAAAAAUCAACCUCUCUAGAUAUUGCAUAUCUACUUAAAUUUAUCUCGAUACCCUCAAUAAUCCUGGAUCACCUACAGAUGUCAUAUAUCCCUGUCCUGUUGACAUAAGUCUAUCAUUAUUAAACUUAUUCACAACAAAAUAUAGUAAUACUAGUAUAUCAAUUCCACAGCCUUGUUGUGUUAAAUCUCUUACACUGAAUUCAACAACAGCUGACUUCCUAAGGGAAAAUAAACGUAUCUAGAUCAUGUAAAAAAAAUACCCCUGCUACUGGUCAAAAUAUUUUCAAAUCACAUAAUCAGAUCAAAAUGACUAAUCUGAUUUACUCCACCAAGAAAAAUUAUUUUACCUUUAUUGUUCUAGGAAAAUAGACUUAAGGAAGCCUACCCUUAGUCUAAGGCUUUGCCCUUUUAGUCCUAUCAUUGGUUCAAAUUAUCAAUUGUGUCUAAGAGCUUUAACUCCAUCAUAAUAUCACCAAUGACCUUAAAUUCACCAUCCAAAUGGCUUUUCAAUGUGGCUGAUCAGACCACACAGGAAAAGUCACCAGAUGUCAAAAGUCAUACCACCCUUUCAGAACCGUGUUUCUUACUACAUUAAACAAAUUAAGGCUUAGAACUUCAUCUACAUUUUGUAUCCCAGGUUCCCAGAACAUUCCCUAUCAAAAGAAUUUCAUGUGUUUAUUAAAACUCAGAAAACAAAACUUCCAAAAUGCCAUGUGUGUAUACCCCUUUAAGAUAUCAUGUCCCUAGGAUUUUUUUAUUUAUUUAUUUUCCCAAAGAGAGCUAAGCGCUUCUUUUUCCAUAAAAUAACCACUUGGUCAGCAUUUCAUCCUACCACCCUGAUUCAAAAACCCCAAAGUUGACUAUAAACAAAACCUAAUAAUACUUAUAAUUCCAUUGUACUCCCUCCAAUCAUUAGUUUUAAACUUCCUCAAUGGUUUAUGUGAUUGAACAUGCCUUUCUGUGGGCGCCUGACCUUUUUCUCUCUGUAUUUGUCUCGACCCCCUCUCUGACAUCUCCUGUCUUUGUUAUUUUUGCAAUCUCGGUGAUUAUGGCCUACUUUAUUGCAGUGUUUACACGGCUCCUCACAUUCUCUAGCAAAAUGUCCUGUCUCGCCACAAUUGUAACAUCUAUUUCCCCCUUUCUCUCCUGCCUUGCUAUUUUUUCCUCUUUUGUCACCUCUACCAUUCCCUGCAAUCUCUCCUAGAGUGGCCAUCAGAUAUUCUGCUCCUUUCCUUUCCUUCUUCUCUUUCUCCCCUUUGCCAAGUUGCUCAUAGUGUACAGCAUAUCUCUUUACUUCCCUCAGAUCUGCUAGCCCCCACCCUACGAGGUUCUGUUUAAUGGCGCGGUUUCGACCUAUUUUAUUGCAGUGUUUACACAGAACCUCACAUUCUCUAGCAAAAUGACCCGGUUUGUUACAGUUAAAGCAUCCAUCUCCCCCUUUCUUUUGUCUAUUCCUAUCCGGACUUUGGUUAUGGUAAACGAGUCUACUGAGGGCUCUGGGUUGUGCAGCACCACCAACACGCUCUCUACCCCUAGUUAUCAUCUUUCUCUCUCCCUCCGUUUCUAUCCACUUUUUCAAUAAAGUGGCUAAAUCCUGUCCAGCUACCUGUGUCUCUUCCUCUCUACCUCCCUCGGCUCCCUGAGGACCAGCAUAUGGGGGAGGGGGUAUAGGUACGGGCGGCACUGGAUGUGGUAGCCUCCGUAUCACUACCACCACCUCGUCAUCUGGGUUCUCCCGCCAUCCCUGGUCAACCAGGGAGGGGUAUAAUUCGGGUUCAGAUGGUGUCUCUGUGGGAGCCGUGGGAGUCCUCUCUGUCUGCUCCUGGCUACCCAAACAUUCAUUUUUAGUAACUCCCUUACUUUUGGCCCCCUCCGCUCUCUUUCUAGCUUCUGCCAGCCAAACCCGAGCAGUGUCAAGGCCCUCUGUGCGCUGCUUCUCUGUCUUACCCCCACUGACCUUAUGUAUUUGUUUUACCAUUAAUUGCAAUCUUUCAACAUUCAGACAUCCAUCAAAAUUGUAUUUCUUUCUCCAUUUCGGCCCAAAAUAAAUGUUCCUCUUAUCUUUUCCCAGCAUAAAACGUUCAUCUCCCGUCAAUACCGGGAUUUCCUUAGAGGAUUUACUACCCAUGUUGUUUUUUUAAAUUGUUUUAAAGUACACUCGUAUUUAUUCUGCUUCUUCUCCCAACCAAGAGUUUUAGAAAUAUUAUUCGUAAGAACCAUAAACUAUCUUUUAUUCAUAUGUGCUUUAAUUUAUACAACUUCAAACCAAAUACAAUUAGUGUCUACUCGUUGUUAAUCUUAAUGUGUAUGCUAUUUUACCGUUAUUAACCUAGAAUUUGGGGAAUAAUCAUUCGCAUGCUAUUUUACAAAUUGCUUCUAUCUCAUCGCUCAAAAAGGACAAACGGCUUUUAUCUUGCGCCUGUUGAGUCUAGCAAUAUGUUUUCGUUAUGAUUUUAACAAUGUGUUUUCGUUAUUAAACCUAUAAUUUGGGGAAUAAUUAUUCGUACGCUAUAUUACAAAUUGCUUGUAUCUCAUCGCUCAAAAAGGACAAACGGCUUUUAUCUUGCACCUGUUGAUUCUAGCAAUAUGUUUUCGUUAUUAACCUUCUAUUCGCAAUAUAGAGUUGUUCUGCUAGAAUGAUUAUACGUAUCUAUCCUAACCCGGUCUUUAUCUCGCUCAUAGACAAACACUGCAACCCGUUUUAUUUUUAGGUUUGUACUGUCUGUCUUUUUCUCGCGAUUUAUUGACAGAAUCCGCCUCACACGCAAUCCCUCAUCCCAGCAUAGUUACUCUAUCUCUCUCGAAACUUUAUCUACAGCGGGGACUGUCGAUCAGACAUUAGGUCGCAUACGUAUGCAACUAUAAACUACUUUCCAGGGGUCGUAAAGCCCUAGUUAACAGCCUAUUUAUCUGUUGCUUCAUGUAACUGUUGACACCAAUAUCUGUUUCUCACUCCGCCAUAUUAGGUCUCACUUCACCCAUAGAUAUCAGACCCAAAGCCGUAUUUAGGUACCGACUAUCCCCUUAUGGUUUUUUGACCCUUGUGCUACGUUAUCAGGUCUCACCACAAGCCCUAGUUUAGUUUUAUGCAGUGGCCACAGUUGCCCAGGGUCGAUUUCGGACCCUGCGUCGUUUUCGAAUUCGUCGUUUUGAAUUUACAACUAAUUCCUAACUUCCAUCCGCGCAGAAUACUUGAUUCCCUUUAAAACCGAUUUUUCUCCACGUGAACUUCUGAAGCCAGGUUACCAGCUAUAACAUUCACCAAAUUCAGCGUCUUACACCCAGAGUACAUUAAAAUCCUCUACAUCAAUGAGAUUUGGAAUUUACAACUGAUUCCUGUCUUCUAUCCGCGCAGAAUACUUGAUUCCCUUUAAAACCGAUUUUUCUCCACACAACCUUCUGAAGCCAGGUCACCCGCUAUAACAUUCAUCAAUCUCAGCGUCUCACACCCAGAGUACCUUUCACUCACAACAAUCGCUUUUGCCUUACACUCUCAACAAUCGCUUUUGCCUUACAUUCACAACACUCGCUUUUGCCUUUCAUUCACAACAAUCGCUUUCGCCUUACACUCUCAACAAUCGCUUUCUCAUCAAAUGCCAACACCCAAUUGUGUCCCUUAUUCCAUCAUGCAAUGCAGCCAUACAGGUGUAUUUCCCAUUUCAACAUACAAUGCCGACAUACAGGUGUAUUUCAUACAAUGCAGACACACAGGUGUAUCACCAACACCCAAAUGUGUCCCUUAUUCCAUCAUGCAAUGCAGACAUACAGGUGUAUUUCUCAUUUCAUCAAGUAAUGCAGACCUACAAUCGCUUCCUCACCAUGCAAUGCAAACCUAUAGGUAUAUCACAAAUUUCCCUAUGCAAUACAAACCUAUAGGUAUGUCACUCACCCCUUAUUUAAUGUAAUCAUACAGGUGCUAUUCCCCAAAAGUAUGAAUAAAGCUUACUAACCUUAUAAUUUGCAGCUGAGGUUUUCAAUGUUCGUUGAAUCUCGUCACCACCUCUGUCGCGUACCAAUUUGCCACCGGCCUGUAAAGAACCCACAGAAAAGGGCCAGGUCUUUGAUUUACGGAUAUUUCAUCCGCCCGUGCACGGUUUCGGUGUCUCCUUGGGACGACAGCGGCAGUUUGAAAUCCGGCUCGAAUAGGACCAAUUGUUAAAGGAAUUUUAUAUCUUGAUGAUAAUAAUCAAUAAUCAAUUCGCCUUGACUAAUGCCCAAGGUUUGUAAGACAAUGGGUUAUAAUAAUUAGGCAAGGACUCAGCUUUCUGCAAAAGGUUUCUGUAGCUUUAUUCAUGAGAACGUUCUGAGGUCAGGAUAACAAAACAGUCAUUAUAUAGUUCUUGCUUACUUACGCACAUGCAUUUACACACAAUCCGUUGGUGACCUGCAUCCCCCAUAAACUUCUCACACUGUUUAUCACUACCCAGAGCUCAGCCUGUUCUUUUCCCUCAAGGUUAGGAACUCUUUGAAGCUUUUACUCCCUUGACCAUCUGUCUCCUGGUGUCCCUCCUAAUUGCAUACAUACAUUUCUUUCCCUCUCCAGUGGUUCCUGGACUUUCCGGAACUAAUCAGACUAAUCGAUCCCUAUCUUGAUCAUUACAUUGAUUAUUCAUUAAACCUGCUGUAUGACUAAUAAUUCAUCAUGGUUUAUUGAUUAAUUUACAUUUAUUAGAUAAUUCUCUUAUCAGCAGGGCAGUACGUAUUUCCUCUCUUACAUCUGCAAGCAGAGUCUGAACAUCAGACAGGAUGGCAUUGUCUCCCUCAAUCCGUGCAAUGGCUACUGCUAUAGGUUUCAGGAGUUUCAGGCUGCUUACCACUCUCUCCCAAAAUACAUCAUCCAGGAGGAUCCUCUUGAUGGGGCUGUCCAUAUCGGCAGACUGUGAGAUGGCCAUUUCUUGGAGAGACUCCUUCCCCUCCAGGAGACUGUCAAACAUGAUGGCAACACCACCCCAACGGGUGUUGCUGGGCAGCUUCAAUGUGGUGCUCUUAUUCUUCUCACUUUGCUUGAUGAGGAAGAUUUCUGCUAUAACUUGAUGACCCUUCACAUACUAACCAUUUCCUU